rnacentral:rRNA from 1 species
GAGUUUGAUCAUGGCUCAGAUUGAACGCUGGCGGCAGGCCUAACACAUGCAAGUCGAGCGGUAACACAAGGGAGCUUGCUCCUGAGGUGACGAGCGGCGGACGGGUGAGUAAUGCCUAGGGAUCUGCCCAGUCGAGGGGGAUAACAGUUGGAAACGACUGCUAAUACCGCAUACGCCCUACGGGGGAAAGGAGGGGCUCUUCGGACCUUUCGCGAUUGGAUGAACCUAGGUGGGAUUAGCUAGUUGGUGAGGUAAUGGCUCACCAAGGCGACGAUCCCUAGCUGUUCUGAGAGGAUGAUCAGCCACACUGGGACUGAGACACGGCCCAGACUCCUACGGGAGGCAGCAGUGGGGAAUAUUGCACAAUGGGCGAAAGCCUGAUGCAGCCAUGCCGCGUGUGUGAAGAAGGCCUUCGGGUUGUAAAGCACUUUCAGUAGGGAGGAAAGGUUAUUGGUUAAUACCCAAUAGCUGUGACGUUACCUACAGAAGAAGGACCGGCUAACUCCGUGCCAGCAGCCGCGGUAAUACGGAGGGUCCAAGCGUUAAUCGGAAUUACUGGGCGUAAAGCGUGCGCAGGCGGUUAUUUAAGCCAGAUGUGAAAGCCCCGGGCUCAACCUGGGA